rnacentral:rRNA from 1 species
UCGAGCGGGCAUCUUCGGGUGUCAGCGGCAGACGGGUGAGUAACACGUGGGAACGUACCCUUCGGUUCGGAAUAACGCUGGGAAACUAGCGCUAAUACCGGAUACGCCCUUUUGGGGAAAGGUUUACUGCCGAAGGAUCGGCCCGCGUCUGAUUAGCUAGUUGGUGGGGUAACGGCCUACCAAGGCGACGAUCAGUAGCUGGUCUGAGAGGAUGAUCAGCCACACUGGGACUGAGACACGGCCCAGACUCCUACGGGAGGCAGCAGUGGGGAAUAUUGGACAAUGGGCGCAAGCCUGAUCCAGCCAUGCCGCGUGAGUGAUGAAGGCCUUAGGGUUGUAAAGCUCUUUUGUCCGGGACGAUAAUGACGGUACCGGAAGAAUAAGCCCCGGCUAACUUCGUGCCAGCAGCCGCGGUAAUACGAAGGGGGCUAGCGUUGCUCGGAAUCACUGGGCGUAAAGGGCGCGUAGGCGGCCAUUCAAGUCGGGGGUGAAAGCCUGUGGCUCAACCACAGAAUUGCCUUCGAUACUGUUUGGCUUGAGUAUGGUAGAGGUUGGUGGAACUGCGAGUGUAGAGGUGAAAUUCGUAGAUAUUCGCAAGAACACCGGUGGCGAA